UCAUGCGGCGUUGUUUGACCCCAGCCGGUGCGUGGGUGUCCACGUGGAGGAGGGUGACGACCGUGUCGCGUGCCGUUGGCUACAACCGUAGCCACUGUCCACCUUUGACGGAAACCGACGCGAGCAAGACGACGUCGGCGGCUUCGACCACCGCACCGGCCGCGCCGACCUCUGAGGACUACCGCGCCCUGCUACUGGACCUCUUGCUGUACCGUCGCGAGACGUUGACUCCAGUCGUGGAAGCCCUUCGCCUCGAGAGAGACGAGGUGGAAAAAAAGAUGCAGCAGCUUGACACGCACGUGCGCGAGCUCAGCUCCAUUCGCGAUGAGCUUCGGCAACUGGCCGAGGCGGUGCUGGACGCAGAGCGCACGCGUUUGCACGACGUUGUGAUGAAGCCCAGCAACCCUCCUGCCGCGGAGAGCACCAUGGCGGCACAAGGCGCAGCAGAGAGCGAAGAGGUUGAGGAAAUUGUGCUGUAGCUACAGCAGAACUGCGGAACGCUGGUCG
rnacentral:misc_RNA from 1 species